rnacentral:rRNA from 1 species
UUAAACAGUUACUUGGAUAACUGGGGUAAUUCUAAAGCUAAUACAUGAAAUCAAGUCCCGGACAGAGAUGGGAGGGACGCUUUUAUUAGAUCAAAACCGAUCGGAGCCCGGAUCCGGCCGGCGCCGUCUCUUUUGGUGACUCUGGAUAACCUUAAGACGAUCGCACGGACACCGUACCGGGGACGCAUCUUUCAAAUGUCUGACUUAUCAACUGUCGAUGGUAGGCUCUGCGCCUACCAUGGUUAUAACGGGUAACGGGGAAUCAGGGUUCGAUUCCGGAGAGGGAGCCUGAGAAACGGCUACCACAUCCAAGGAAGGCAGGAGGCGCGCAAAUUACCCACUCCCGGCACGGGGAGGUAGUGACGAAAAAUAACGAUACGGGACUCAUCCGAGGCCCCGUAAUCGGAAUGAGUACGCUUUAAAUACUUUAACGAGUACCAAUUGGAGGGCAAGUCUGGUGCCAGCAGCCGCGGUAAUUCCAGCUCCAAUAGCGUAUAUUAAAGUUGUUGCGAUUAAAAAGCUCGUAGUUGGAUCUGUGUGCCACGCUGUCGGGUCACCGCCUGUCGGUGUUAACUGGCAUGUCUGUGGGACGUCCUGCCGGUGGCGGUACGGACUGCCGGCGCUGCGUAGGGGUUCGCCCCCGAAGCACGCCGGCGUGUCCCGGUCCGCCGAUCCAAUCCCGCCGCGGUGCUCUUCACUGAGUGUCGAGGAGGGCCGGCACGUUUACUUUGAACAAAUUAAAGUGCUCAAAUCAGGUCGUAUUUAGGCCUGAAU